rnacentral:sRNA from 1 species
GCUGGGCAUGGUGGCACAAGCCUGUAAUCCCAGCAACUUGGGAGGCUGAGGCAGGAGGAUCACAAGUUCAAGGCCAGCCUCAGCAACUUAGGCCCUAAGUAAUUUAGUGAAAAUUUGUCUCAA